AGAGAUUAAUUUAACUGAUUACAAUAUGGUUGCCAUUUUCGCGGCCACCCAAAUUUAUAUAUAUAUAUGCUCCGCGAGGACGACACGCAUGUAUAGUUUAAAAAUUAAAACGCCAACAAUAAAACAGUGUACAUGAAAGGAAUAGAAAUGUUAACUAUAUAAUCAGCAGGUAGUCGUCCCCAAUGGCUUUAGGGAUUUGAGAGCACUAACAUAAAGAACAACAAAUGUUGGAUUACACCUCCACGGCCACCAACACAGCAUGCCUGUUCUGACAGGCCAGAAGAGAAGUAGAUCUUUUUUCUUUAGAUAUAUAUAUCUAAAUCCUGAGCUUUUGCUUUUUGGUAUCACGAUGAAAAAGGUGAGACGUUUCUUUUACAACCUAACUAGUGCUUAAUUGGGACAGGGAGAUGUUUAAUUUCCUCUUUUUCUUUUCUCAUUUGUACGUAGGUUCAUUCACUUUUUUGAAAGGCAAAAUAAUAAUAAAAAACGAGUUUUUAAUUUCCAUUCUCUUCCAGAUCUUCAAUAUCUUCUAUCUCCUAUCUAAUCUAAUUAACAUGCUCAUAGAUCAUCUCCGAAUUCGGAUCUCAUAAUCAUAUAUAUAUAUAUAUGUUAUUCUCCCUUUUUUUCAGAGAAGAAAAGCAAUUGGGUCUACUUACAAAUCCGUGGCUAGAUACAUUGUAUUUCAUCAAUCAAAUCCAGACGCAUAUACACAACACACUGACGUGUACACCGAUUCUUUAUGAUACUAGAAAGAACAUCAUCUUCCCAACCUGCAUUUAAUUUACCAAUCAGUAAAACUGUAAAGGAUUAGGAUAUCAUAUUUGUACAUUCAAAAUUCAAGCACAACAUAUCAAACUUUACCUUCGAACUACCCAGAUUCCAGAAUGAACUCUCUCUCUCUCUCUCUCUCUUUCUGUCAUUUCAAAUUAGCUAAGACACUGAGACAGUGUCUUCAAACAGCAUUUAGCCAUUUCAUUUGUCUAAAUGAAUGCUAAUGCCACAAAUCCACAAUGAAACAACUUGGGGCUGUGUAAUUGUUACGAACGUUCAGUAACCGAUUACACGUGAACAGAAUUCUUCCAAUCGGAAGCCGGAGGUUGGGGAAGAUUCUCCCUAGGGAGCCGGAGUUAAGAAGAAAACAGAAUUGGUUGUAAUUUUGACGAUGAUCCUCGUGGAUCCAUCUUUAUAUUUAAACACAAC
rnacentral:lncRNA from 1 species